AGAGUUUGAUCCUGGCUCAGAUUGAACGCUGGCGGCAUGCGUAACACAUGCAAGUCGAACGGUGUUUGGUGCUUGCACCAGACAUAGUGGCGGACGGGUGAGUAAUGCGUAGGAAUCUGUCUUAGAGAGGGGGACAACCCGAGGAAACUUGGGCUAAAACCGCAUAUUCUCGAGAGAGGAAAGCAGGGGACCGGAAACGGCCUUGUGCUCUAAGGUGAGCCUACGUCGGAUUAGCUAGUUGGUAGGGUAAAAGCCUACCAAGGCGAUGAUCUGUAGCUGGUCUGAGAGGACGGACAGCCACACUGGGACUGAGACACGGCCCAGACACCUACGGGAGGCAGCAGUGGGGAAUAUUGGACAAUGGGGGGAACCCUGAUCCAGCGAUGCCGCGUGUGUGAAGAAGGCCUGCGGGUUGUAAAGCACUUUCAGUGGGAAAGAGAAGCGUCUUGUGAAUAAUGGGACGUGGAGACGUUACUCACAGAAGAAGCACCGGCUAACUCUGUG
rnacentral:rRNA from 1 species